AGAGUUUGAUUCUGGCUCAGGAUGAACGCUGGCGGCGUGCUUAACACAUGCAAGUCGAACGGGGGUGCCAUGAACGAAGCAUCAGUUUACUGAUAUGGAGGGAAUGGGACCCUAGUGGCGGACGGGUGAGUAACGCGUGGGUAACCUGCCCCAUACCGGGGGAUAACACUUAGAAAUAGGUGCUAAUACCGCAUAAGCGCACGGUACUGCAUGGUACAGUGUGAAAAACUCCGGUGGUAUGGGAUGGACCCGCGUCUGAUUAGCUUGUUGGCGGGGUAACGGCCCACCAAGGCGACGAUCAGUAGCCGGCCUGAGAGGGUGGACGGCCACAUUGGGACUGAGACACGGCCCAAACUCCUACGGGAGGCAGCAGUGGGGAAUAUUGCACAAUGGGGGAAACCCUGAUGCAGCGACGCCGCGUGAGUGAAGAAGUAUUUCGGUAUGUAAAGCUCUGUCAGCAGGGAAGAAAAUGACGGUACCUGACCAAGAAGCCCCGGCUAACUACGUGCCAGCAGCCGCGGUAAUACG
rnacentral:rRNA from 1 species